GAGUCGUCAAUUUGAACAAAGAAAUUUAAAUACAAAAGUGAGGUGGUGAGACAUUUUUGUUUGACAGGGCGUUAACUAAACCCUGCUUAGUUAACUUAGUUAAAACGUGUUUAUUAGGCCAUUUUGUAAAGUUCUUACCCAUGCAAUUUUAAACGCUAUUCUGCAAGAAAUUCUGAAGCAGAAUAGUGUGAGAACAUUGAACUUGGCUUUCUGAAAUCCUGCACAGAGUAACAAGAAUUCAGGAGCACAGACUAUAUUGUGCAUCUCUAGAUUGUACAUAAACAUAGGCCUUUGCAUUUGGCUUUUCAAAAACCAAAGUUUGUACUAUAUCAUGGGGUUUUUAUUGUGUUUACAAUAUUCUUGCGUUUACCUUUGCGAGCUGAGUAUCAGUGUCGGGAGUUGGGAGAAAGGUCUCCUUUGUAUACAGUAGGAUUGCAAGGUUCCAAUAGAAUCCAUGAGCUUUUGCAUAUGUGCACAAAAUGCUAAUGAGUACAUUCUUUCCUAGUGCUACCAGGAAAGCCAGUUUCCUUUUGGAAUGCAAAAUAAAAGAUGCAGUGCACAUAAUAGC
rnacentral:lncRNA from 1 species